rnacentral:rRNA from 1 species
GACGAACGCUGGCGGCGUGCUUAACACAUGCAAGUCGAACGGAAAGGCCCUGCUUUUGUGUGGUGCUCGUGUGGCGAACGGGUGAGUAACACGUGAGUAACCUGUCCUUGUCUUUGUGAUAACUUCAGGAAACUGGGGCUAAUACCCGAUAGGAUCUCCUGCUGCAUGGUGGUGGUUGGAAAGUUUCGGCGGUAGGGGAUGGUCUCGCAGCUUAUCAGCUUGUUGGUGGGGUAGUGGCUUACCAAGGCUUUGACGGGUAGCCGGCCUGAGAGCGUGACCGGCGACAAUAGGCCUGAGAUACGGACCAGAAGCCUACGGGAGGCAGCAGGCGGGAGUAUGACACAGUGGGGGGGAGCGAGAGGCAGAAGCGCCGGGUGCGGAAUGCCGGCUUACGGGUUGUGAACCGAUUUGGACGGAACCGAGGCGUGCGUGACGGUAAUGGGUAAGGAAGCAACGGCUAACUACGUG